CACGGCAAAGGAACCCUCCACAAAACCAAAACACAACCCAACAGCUGGCAGAAGAGACUUGCAAACCAUACAUCGGAUAAGGGGUUUCUAGCCCAAAUACAGAAAGAACUCACACAGCUCAACAACAACAAAAAUCAACAACCCAAUUAAAAAGACGGGCAAAAGAUCUGAGCAGUGAUCUCUCCAAAGAAGACAUGCGGAUGGCCAACAGGCAAAUGGAAAGGUGCUCAACAUCAUUAGCCAUCAGAGAAAGGCAGAUCAAAACUACAAGGAGAGGUCACCUUCCUCUGCUCAGAACGGCUCUAAUUAACGACACAAGAGACAAGUGGGGAGGGGGGAGGGGAGAGAGCCAAAGGGGUGAUGAGGCUCACAUGUGAGGUGACGGACUAUCAUUAGUUUUCGGGUGGUGAACACGAUGUAAUCCACACAGAAUUCGAAAUACAUUACAACGUACCUCUGAAAGCUACAUAAUGUUAGAAUCCGCUGUUACUGCAAUAAAAUAAAAUAAAAUAAAAUAAAAUAAAAUAAAAUAAAAUAGAGAAGUGUUGGAGCCUCAAGAGGCUAACAGGCUUUUGAAAAGUUAUUCUAGGGAUUUGUAUGGCUUAGCUCAGGGCGGCACACACCAGCCUGAGACACAGCUGUGACAUAGCCCCUAACUUCAACUAAACUCUAUUCCGCCUGGAGGGAAAUCAAAACUACUGUAAUCAUAAUUGAUUGAAGGCUUCACUUUGUGCCAGAUCCUGUGCCGACUGCUUUGCACCAACUGUCUCAUUUAAUCCUCACAUCCAAAAGGCAGGUUACCGUUAUUCUCCCCAUUUUCAAGGUGAGGAGGCGGAAGCAGAAAGAUGGCCAUCUGCCUGGAAUUCACACAAGGCUUCUCUAGGUAAUGACAUGACUUUUGGACAGGAUUUAAAGGUUUAACACAUUCCAGUGAAGACGCAGAUCCCAGUAUCACAGAACGUGAAAAACACUGAGUCCUGCCACAUGUAUUAAAACACUAACUAUGGAUCCUCACAAUCUCUUGGCCUGUUUUUCAGAGGAGGGAAAACCCAGGGUGAAAACCCGUUGAGGAGAUGUCUGCAGAUGAGGACUAGGUCUGGUCUUUAAAGCCGGGAACUAUCCCAGUAGAUUCUGAGUCAGUGGGUCCAGAGUAGGCGUCGAGCGUCUCCGUUCUUUGAAAAAGCCCCACAGGCUACACUUCCGUGCCCUUGGAGUUGGGAAGUACAGUCAGGCCCUACAUCGGGACGUUUCAGUCAACAACGGGGGUCCCAUAAGAUUAGUCCCAUAGAGCCUAGGUGUGUAGGAGGCUCUGCCGUGUAGGUUUAUGAACUCCGUGGUGCUUGCACGAUCACGCGAUUGCCUGACCGUGACGCACUCCUCACAGCUUAGCCCCACUGUUAAGCAAAGCAUGACUGCACUGCCUUAGAUUCUCCACGGUUCCAGACCCUGCGCUGUUUAGAUGACUGCACACGCAGAGGGCACCGUGUCUGAGGCAGAGAGCGGCUGGAAUCACAACAGCUCUCGACGGAGAGUCAAGGAAAGGCGUGCUCUGCUUACACGACUCUCUACUUUUCUCUGUGUCUGAACUAUUUUACAGCUAAUCUACUUUUUUUAACCAAGCAGCUGUGCCAAAAGAAUGUUACCAAGCAAUACUAAACAAACCAAUAUCAACCAUACAUAUUAAAUAAGCCUAACCCUACUAGGCUACGGAAAAGGCUUUUAUUUCCCUGGAUAAUUUGGACAGCAUUAGAUUCUUUUACCAAGAGCAGCCAAGUCGAGGGAGAUUAUUUCUAAGUCCACAGUGUUGCAGAUGCGGUCAGUAGCAACCGCAAGCUGGAAAGGAAACAAAGUUGGGUGUAAUCCAUUCCAGUUCACACGUUUCACCAGGGACAGCCUCCAAGCCUUGAAUACUUAUGUACGCAUUUAUCCAUUUCUUUAACCAACCACUACUAACGCCUACCAAAGGCCAGACACUGCUCGAAGUACUUUACGGAUGUGAAAUAUCCUCUAACCUUUACGCUCGCCUACGGAGUGUGUAUGAUAAUCAUCCCCGUUCUACAGAUCAGGAAACUGACACGCAGAAUGGUACAGUAACUUGCCCAAGUUCACACAGCCCGUAGGCGGCAGAGCCAGGACCCAUUUGACAGAGUCUGGCCCCAGAGUCCACGUGCUGAAUCACCACGCUUAGUCUCCAAAAAACCUGUAGAAAGCGCCAGGCUUAAUCGAAAAGUUUGGUUUUCCCCACCCCAGCCUACAGUCCCUACGCGGCCCCAGUCUCCAGGGC
rnacentral:lncRNA from 1 species